UACAUGGGGUGCAAACGUUGCUCGGAAUUAUUGGGCGUAAAGCGCGCGUAGGCGGUUACUCAAGUCGGAUGUGAAAGCCCUCGGCUUAACUGAGGAAGUGCAUCCGAAACUGGCAGGCUAGAGUACUAAAGAGGGUCGCGGAAUUCCCGGUGUAGAGGUGAAAUUCGUAGAUAUCGGGAGGAACACCGGUGGCGAAGGCGGCGACCUGGGUAGAUACUGACGCUGAGGUGCGAAAGCGUGGGGAGCAAACAGG
rnacentral:rRNA from 1 species